rnacentral:rRNA from 1 species
AUUGAACGCUGGCGGCAGGCUUAACACAUGCAAGUCGAGCGGAGAGAGGUAGCUUGCUACUGAUCUUAGCGGCGGACGGGUGAGUAAUGCUUAGGAAUCUGCCUAUUAGUGGGGGACAACAUUUCGAAAGGAAUGCUAAUACCGCAUACGUCCUACGGGAGAAAGCAGGGGAUCUUCGGACCUUGCGCUAAUAGAUGAGCCUAAGUCGGAUUAGCUAGUUGGUGGGGUAAAGGCCUACCAAGGCGACGAUCUGUAGCGGGUCUGAGAGGAUGAUCCGCCACACUGGGACUGAGACACGGCCCAGACUCCUACGGGAGGCAGCAGUGGAGAAUAUUGGACAAUGGGCGCAAGCCUGAUCCAGCCAUGCCGCGUGUGUGAAGAAGGCCUUAUGGUUGUAAAGCACUUUAAGCGAGGAGGAGGCUACUUUAGAUAAUACCUAGAGAUAGUGGACGUUACUCGCAGAAUAAGCACCGGCUAACUCUGUGCCAGCAGCCGCGGUAAUACAGAGGGUGCAAGCGUUAAUCGGAUUUACUGGGCGUAAAGCGCGCGUAGGCGGCUAAUUAAGUCAAAUGUGAAAUCCCCGAGCUUAACUUGGGAAUUGCAUUCGAUACUGGUUAGCUAGAGUGUGGGAGAGGAUGGUAGAAUUCCAGGUGUAGCGGUGAAAUGCGUAGAGAUCUGGAGGAAUACCGAUGGCGAAGGCAGCCAUCUGGCCUAACACUGACGCUGAGGUGCGAAAGCAUGGGGAGCAAACAGGAUUAGAUACCCUGGUAGUCCAUGCCGUAAACGAUGUCUACUAGCCGUUGGGGCCUUUGAGGCUUUAGUGGCGCAGCCUAACGCGAUAAGUAGACCGCCUGGGGAGUACGGUCGCAAGACUAAAACUCAAAUGAAUUGACGGGGGCCCGCACAAGCGGUGGAGCAUGUGGUUUAAUUCGAUGCAACGCGAAGAACCUUACCUGGCCUUGACAUAGUAAGAACUUUCCAGAGAUGGAUUGGUGCCUUCGGGAACUUACAUACAGGUGCUGCAUGGCUGUCGUCAGCUCGUGUCGUGAGAUGUUGGGUUAAGUCCCGCAACGAGCGCAACCCUUUUCCUUAUUUGCCAGCGAGU